UACGUAGGUGGCAAGCGUUGUCCGGAUUUAUUGGGUUUAAAGGGUGCGUAGGCGGUCUUAUAAGUCAGUGCUGAAAUAUCCCGGCUUAACCGGGAGGGUGGCAUUGAUACUGUAGGACUUGAGUAAAGUUGAGGUAGGCGGAAUUGACGGUGUAGCGGUGAAAUGCUUAGAUAUCGUCAAGAACACCGAUAGUGUAGACAGCUUACUAAGCUUUAACUGACGCUGAGGCACGAAAGUGUGGGGAUCAAACAGG
rnacentral:rRNA from 1 species